rnacentral:lncRNA from 1 species
AAGGAGAGCUUUGGGAACAGGACAGACAGCCAAACAGCUGAGGGUAAAGUAGGAUCAAGUGUCAGAGUGGCGGUCGUUUGAGUCCUAUAUCCGCAGGGAGAGAAAUCUACCAGGACUUAGACAAUUUCAUUCACAUACAUACACAUCAUCUCUGCUCAGACAGGAGCUCUCGGGAGGAACAGCCACGGGAGGAACAGCAAUCGGAUCCUAUGAGGGCACCACCAAAUGCCAUGCGGCUCACACAUGGUCAUUUUAACUGCCACGGGCCACAGGCAGACCACAGCCCCAGACCCCAGAACCUUCACAGUGUUGGCAAACUAACCUGGAAACAUCACUGAGCUAAAAACCAUCUCUCCUGCUUCUAAUCUCAAGGU